rnacentral:lncRNA from 1 species
AGAAAAUGCAGGUAAAUGAGAAAACAAAACAGAUAAAGUUCCUGCAGAGGGAACAGGAAAUGAGUGAAAAGGAUUUACGACUACCCGUCUUCUCUCAGACUCUGCUCCUGGGAUGUAACAUUCAUUGCUUGCUAUGUCUAUACCUCACUACAUGCAAUGCACCUUUAGAAGACUGUCUCCUUACUCCAUAAUGGAAUUUGUCUCUGACCUAUUGCAGCUAUGAGAUAAGCAUUACCUGCCCCAGAGGCUACCUGCCACUCAGUGAAGAUCAUAUGCCUAAGUCAUGACAUCAACAUCAAACUCUCUUCAAAUCUGGGAGAAAGGCUCAGCUCUUACAACCAGGACAAGAAGAAAUGACACCAGUAGAGAGAUCAUUUGGUCUGUCUAGAGAUGUGGUUGGCAGAUUUAUGACCCCCAAAGAUGUCUACAUCCUAAACCCAGGAAUCUGUGAGUAUGUUACCUUACAUGCAAAAGGGACUUUGCAGAAGAGAUUAAUACCUUGAGAUGGGAAUAUUAUUCUGGAUUAUCUGGGUGGGUCAGAUUUAAUCUUACAAUUCCUUUAAAGUGAAAGACAAGGAAGAGGCAGGGUGAAUCUGAGCAAUGUGAGAAGAACGUGCUGACUUUGAAGAAUGAGGAAGUAGAUCAUGAGCCAAAGACUGCAGUAGCCUCUAGAACCUGGGGACUGCCAGCAGCUUACAGCCAGCGAGAACACAGGGACCCAGGGCUGCAACAGCAAAGAAUGGAAUUCUGUCAAUAACCAAAUGGGCAAGGAAACAGACUCUUUCUUAGAGUAUCCCAAAAUAAAGGCAGCCCCAUGCACACCUUUAUUUUAGCUCAGGAAUACCUGUGUCAGAUUUCUGACCUACAGAACUGUAAGACACUAAGUUUGUGUUGUAUUAGCAGCUGAAAUUGUUGCAUUUUGUUACAGUAGCAAUGGAAAACUAAUACAAGAGGGUAAGCUAAGUUGGUUUGCAAAUUUGUAGAUGCACUGACUGAAUGCCAGCAAUUGAUACACCAAAGUUAAUAAAAUUCUGGGACUUUUAUCAAAACCAAGGCAAAGAGGAUAGCAUGAGCUACAAAUGCUAAUUGGGUGGUAAAACAUCCUUAACUUUACCUUCAGUCUUAUUUGUCUUUACUGAAACAUAGUAAGGGAAGAUGGGCAGGUCUGUGCAAGGACAGUGGCCCAGUCACUUAGGAGAGACAGUUAGUGCUUACAUACCUGUGGGACCUGCAUAGGGUCUCACUCAGAGUUUGAAGCAAAUAUCAGAAAAUGUCAUCCUUAAAAUUUAAGAAAGAGAAGAGAAUUAAUUAUCACAUUUAUUCCACAAAGGUGCAGAUACUGUACAAGGUGGCUUAUGAAUAUCAUCUUAUUUAAUCUUCACAGCAAUACCAGAAAACCAGGACUACUUUGUCCAUUCUAUCUACUGCAGAGAAAAUGAGACUCGGGAAGAUCCAGUAACUUCCCAGAGGCUACAGGGAAAAUAAGAUCUGCCUGAUUUCAAAGUGGUCAAGGGUGAAAUUAAUGGAUUUAACAAACAAAGCAAACAAACAAAUUUUCCUUAAAAGGCAUCCAAAAAUCUUUAUCCUGAAUUUAUGAGCACCAAACACCUUUCCAGGAUGUAAUUUUACCUGCUUUAGGAAACUGAUGUCCUGCCAGGUUUACUGCUGCCGUAAGUGAAUAACACUAUUUAGUGGUACCUAAUGCAUGCCAAGCAGAGAUUUGUGUUUGACCUAUUAUUCCCCAUUCUCACAAUAAUUAUAUUAGGUAGGUAAUCUCUCCAUUUUCCAAAUGAGGAAACUAAAAUUCAUAAAGAAUAAAGCCUUUCCCAAAGUUAAUAAACUAAUAAAUGGCAAUGCCAACAUUUCAAUUCUUGACUGUCUGAUGCAAACAUAUGUUACCUCCAGAGUUGGGGACCUAUGAGUCUGGCUAGUGUGAACUUCCUCUAUACAACCUCUGAACUCUGGAAGGACUGACAGAUUCAACUGACAAAUUCAACAUCUGUCACUCACAUCUGCUGUGAUGACCACACACCAAGGUUCAUUCAACCAUUCUGUAAAGUCCUAUUGGAAAGAAUCAGGCAAUCAAGAUUCCUAUCACCUCACCUUCCACAAGA